UUUUUUCAAUUCAUUUUCAAUUUACUUUUCUUUCCCUCAACCCGAGAGGUCGAAGGAAAAAUGAGGACGAAAGGGGAUACGGGAUACAUAGUCAUUGUGAGGGGUCGAAUAUUGCCAUUCUGACGAAAGACAAACAACAAAAACAUUUUUUUUUUUGCUUCCAA
rnacentral:ribozyme from 13 species